GACGAACGCUGGCGGCGUGCCUAAUACAUGCAAGUUGAGCGCUGAAGGUUGGUACUUGUACCCACUGGAUGAGCAGCGAACGGGUGAGUAACGCGUGGGGAAUCUGCCUUUGAGCGGGGGACAACAUCUGGAAACGAAUGCUAAUACCGCAUAAAAACUUUAAACACAAGUUUUAAGUUUGAAAGAUGCAAUUGCAUCACUCAAAGAUGAUCCCGCGUUGUAUUAGCUAGUUGGUGAGGUAAAGGCCCACCAAGGCGAUGAUACAUAGCCGACCUGAGAGGGUGGACGGCCAACACGGGAAUGGGAAAAGGGCCAAAAUCCUACGGGAGGGAGGAGGAGGGAAACUUCGGACAUUGAGGAAAGUCUGACCGCACAAAGCCGGGGGGGGGGAGGAGGGUUUCGGAUCGUAAAACUCUGUUGGUAGAGAAGAAAGUUGGUGAGAGUGGAAAGCUCAUCAAGUGACGGUAACUACACAGAAAGGGACGGCUAACUACGUG
rnacentral:rRNA from 1 species